rnacentral:rRNA from 1 species
UACGUAGGGUGCGAGCGUUAAUCGGAAUUACUGGGUGUAAAGCGUGCGCAGGCGGUUCGUUGUGUCGGCGGUGAAAGCCCCGGGCUUAACCUGGGAAUGGCCGUUGAAACUGGCGAACUGGAGUGUGGCAGAGGGGGGUGGAAUUCCGCGUGUAGCAGUGAAAUGCGUAGAGAUGCGGAGGAACACCGAUGGCGAAGGCAGCCCCCUGGGCUGACACUGACGCUCAGGCACGAAAGCUUGGGGAGCAAACAGG